UGCGGAAGGAUCAUUAUUGAAAUAAACUUGGUGUGGGUUGCAGCUGGCCCUUGGGCAUGUGCUCGCCUUCAUCAUCUUUAUAUUUCCACCUGUGCACCUUCUGUAGACAAGAAAGAAAAAGGGAUUUAUUCCUUGUGUAUUCCUUGUCUAUGUUUUAUAUAUACCCCAAAAAUGUAACAGAAUGUAAAUCUAUGGGCCUUUGUGCCUAUAAACAAAAAAUUAUACAACUUUCAGCAACGGAUCUCUUGGCUCUCGCAUCGAUGAAGAACGCAGCGAAAUGCGAUAAGUAAUGUGAAUUGCAGAAUUCAGUGAAUCAUCGAAUCUUUGAACGCACCUUGCGCUCCUUGGUAUUCCGAGGAGCAUGCCUGUUUGAGUGUCAUUAAAUUCUCAAAAGAAAUAAUUUAUCUUUUGGAUGUGAGGGUUAUUAUUGUUGGCGAAAGUCAACUCCCUUGAAAUGAAUUAGCUUGGUUGACGAGACUUUGUCUAUUGGUGUGAUAAUUAUCUACGCCAUUGGAUUGUCUGUUUGUCGAACUGCUUCUAAUUGUCCCUUUGGGGACUUAUUAAAUGACUAUUUGACCUCAAAUCAGGUAG
rnacentral:rRNA from 1 species